AGGAUGAACGCUGGCGGCGUGCCUAACACAUGCAAGUCGAACGUCCUGUCUCGCAAGAGGCAGGGAGUGGCGGACGGGUGAGUACCACGUGGGUCAUCUACCGUGAGGUGAGGAAUACCGGCGAGAAAUCGCCGACAAGACCGCAUAGCCUCGGUGCAAGUCGAGGAAAGCUCUCUCGAGAGAGGGAGCGCCACACGAGGAGCCUGCGCCCGAUUAGCUAGCUGGUGGAGUAAUGGUUCACCAGGGCGACGAUCGGUAGCUGGUCUGAGAGGACGAUCAGCCACACUGGGAUUGAGAACGGCCCAGACUCCUACGGGGGCAGCAGUGAGGAAUUUUCGUCAAUGGGGCAACCCUGAACGAGCAACGCCGCGUGCAGGAAGAAGGUUUCGGAUCGUAAACUGCUUUUCUCGGGAAGAGAACGGACGGUACCCGAGGAAUCACGCCCGGCUAACUACGUGCCAGCAGCCGC
rnacentral:rRNA from 1 species